UCGCGGUUCGGGAAGCGGAGACGCCCCGUGGAAGAAAUACUUUAAAAAAGGGGGAGCCGCCGCCGAUCUCUGGGUGCCGAGGCGUGGGGGUACGGGCGUGGGAAUGAGGCUUUUCAGUGUGCGGCGUGGAACCUUACGGCAUGAAGUUUCUCAACCAACGUGUACCUUUUAGUGAUUAUUAUUAUUAUUAUUAUAAUUAUUAAAGUCUAUGAAUUUCAAAUAGUUCCCAGUUAGCGAUGCUGCGUUGUUCGGCCGCAGCAGCGCUAACGUGUCGGUGGCAUAUUGGUACAGGUGCGGCUCAGCACGACGGGUUUAAGUAGAAAUAAGGGAAGAGGGAGGCGAGGGAAUACGGCUUUUCCCUGCCGCCGGUGACACCCGGCGGCGGGGCGCCCCGGAGAGGCUGUCCCAGUGGGAAUACCGCGCCUCGCCGCGGCUGCUCGCGAUGUGCCAGGCGCAAUCUCGGCUCAUUUUCUCUGAGCAAUACAAGUUCACGGACGAGCUACCUAGCCAGCCCUCCUCUCCCGUCAUGGACCUCCCAGGCUGCUGCGCGUCGGCCGCCCUCUGAGGAGGCUCCUUCACCCCGCGCGGAGGAGGAGGAGGAGAAGGGGAGGAAGGCGCGGUCCCAGCCGCCGCUGCCCAGCCGCCGUCCCGCAGAGCUCUGGCCGCGGGGCGCCGCGGCGGCAGCAGGCGAGCA